UCUAUCUUUUCUUACGCCGCACAGCCCUCCUCUCCUUCAAACUCUCGCGUCGCUAUUCACACACCCCGUCUUUUUGUUUUCCUUUUCUCCUCAACCAGCCGUCGGCAGCCGUAGCCCCACGCCUCCAUUCGCUGCCGUGGUUCGUCUCUGCCAAGCAUCACCGACCGCCUCUCAUCUUCUUCUUCCUCCACCGUGAAACCCGUCGCAUCUCCUUUCGUUUGAAGCCAAGCCGCCACGUUCGUGUACCGUAGUUGAAGCCCUGUCGUCACACCACGUUCGUCCGUCGCGAAUCAACCGAGUCGCUGCGCCUCGUUCAUUCGCCGUAAAUCCAGCCGAGUCGCCCUUGCUUCUCCUCUCGUCUGCCAUCGUUUGGCUCGAUUUGUGUUCUGUCGCUUCUUGCCUCAUCGUAAGUUUUGAGGUUGGUUCGUUGGAUCCUAGUUGAUUAAGGAACGUAGCUAAAUCUCAAUGGUAGUGGACUUUGCAGACACGGUGUCCUAUGGGAUUACCCCAUGUUGUGUAUCAUUCGAGACACUAGACUGAUAUGUGUAUCCUUUGGGGGCACUAGAUUGAUAUGUGUAUCCUCCAGGAGCACUAGACUGAUAUGUAGAUCCCACGAGACCACUAGACUGAUAUAUGUAUCGGACGGAAUCACUAGACUGAUAUGUGGAUCCCACGGGACCACGAGACUGUAAGGGUAUUGCACGAGGCAGAACGGCAAGGGGCAAGAAGGAUGCGUAAAGGCCAUACGAGGAUGCCUAGUUUUAUUGCUUCCGCUAAUUAAUUUUGUGUUUUCGUUUUAAGGAUUUCUAAAUUCAAGUUUUGGGUUAGGAUAUUUGUUUAAUUGUUUUGUUUGAACUUCAUAAGUUAUGUUUGAAACUUUUAAAAUUGAUUUGAAAUAGGGCCCGUAGACGAUUUUAUUAUAUCUUGAGUUUUAAUGAACUUUUGAAUGGAGUUUUUGUUGAAUUUUUAUGAUUGAAUGUCGUGUCUUAGUAGUAGGUAGUGACCUCAACUUAGUCUGAAAAGUUGGGUCGUUACACAAACUUAUAGGUUUGAGGAGUCGUGGGCGAAGGAAAUCAACUUGAGGAAUCGUCGUUCAACCUAAAAAUCAGCCAGAAGAGUCAUCGAUAAAGGAAAUCGACGGAGAAGGGUAGAGGGGUCUAUCUGUUCGCUUGUGUGAGAAGAAGAUUGGAGACAUGUGGGUUGCCGUUUGUGCUAUUGAAAACCUUUGUGGCCGCCAUUCGCGCAAGGUUGUUGCCAGAAAGAAGAAUGGGUAGUGGUCAUUCAUGUAGGGUUACUGUUGGGAAGAAGAAUGGGUGGUUGUCGUUCGCCCGAGGUUGCCAGUGAAGGUUAUGGUUGUCGGAGUUUGGCAGUCGUUGAAGUUGAGAUUUUGGGUCGGCAAAGCCACUACACCAAAUUAGAUUUUUAAUAACAUAUUUUAAUAACGUAGAUUAUAUAAUGUUAUUAAAAAAAGGUGGGGGAUUAAUUAAAAUAAAAAAAAACGGGUGGCAUUAUAUCUUGAAAUCCCUAAUUUAAACAUUUGUGUGGCGCCCCUUCUCCCUUGAUCAUCUCCUUCAUUGUGCGACUCCCCUUCUCAUAAAAACCCCCUUUUCGUUCCAACUUUUUCGUUCCAAUCUCAGACGAUAGACGAUCUCAUUUGUUCUCUAGUUACGUCGCGCGACGCUUCAUCGAUCUUAUCUGUCAUAAUCUCCAGCUUUGUCGGGCGGUAUUUCAUCGAUCUCAUCUAUUCUCUCUGUUCCAAUCAUUGGAGGACGUUACAGCCGACAACCUCACAACCAACGACCUUACAGUUGACGACCUUACAGCGUUGAUGACCCUUAUCGUUCUUCUUUUGAUUUUUUUGAGAGCAACCAAUGGAUAUCUGAGGGGAGCAUGAAACUUUGUGAAACAAGCAGAGAACAUGUUGGAUGGAAUAGACAAAAUUUCGUGUCCAUGCAAGACAUAUAGGAACAUGAAUCAUCAAACCU